UACAGAGGUCUCAAGCGUUGUUCGGAUUCAUUGGGCGUAAAGGGUGCGUAGGCGGCGCGGCAAGUCGGGUGUGAAAUCUCGGAGCUUAACUCCGAAACUGCAUUCGAUACUGCCGUGCUUGAGGACUGGAGAGGAGACUGGAAUUUACGGUGUAGCGGUGAAAUGCGUAGAUAUCGUAAGGAAGACCAGUGGCGAAGGCGGGUCUCUGGACAGUUCCUGACGCUGAGGCACGAAAGUCAGGGGAGCAAACGGG
rnacentral:rRNA from 1 species